rnacentral:rRNA from 1 species
CAGCCGCCGCGGUAAUACGGAGGGCGCGAGCGUUACCCGGAUUUACUGGGCGUAAAGGGCGUGUAGGCGGCCCGGGGCGUCCCAUGUGAAAGGCCACGGCUCAACCGUGGAGGAGCGUGGGAUACGCUCAGGCUAGAGGGUGGGAGAGGGUGGUGGAAUUCCCGGAGUAGCGGUGAAAUGCGCAGAUACCGGGAGGAACGCCGAUGGCGAAGGCAGCCACCUGGUCCACUUCUGACGCUGAGGCGCGAAAGCGUGGGGAGCAAACCGGAUUAGAUACCCCAGUAGUCCCUGUCUCUUAUAC